AUCGAACGCUGGCGGCAGGCCUAACACAUGCAAGUCGAACGAGUGGCGGACGGGUGAGUAAUGUCUGGGAAACUGCCUGAUGUAGGGGGAUAACUACUGGAAACGGUAGCUAAUACCGCAUACCAUCGGAUCUGCUCAGAUGGGAGUAGCUAGUAGGUGGGGUAAAGGCUCACCUAGGCCACUAUCCCUAGCUGGUCUGAUAGGAUGACCAGCCACACUGGAACUGGUACACGGUCCAGAGGCGUACGAGAGGCAGCAGUGAGGAAUAUUGCACAAUGGGCGCAAGCCUGAUGCAGCCAUGCCGCGUGUGUGAAGAAGGCCUUCGGGUUGUAAAGUACUUUCAGCGGGGAGGCGUUACCCGCAGAAGAAGCACCGGCUAACUCCGUGCCAGCAGCCGCGGUAAUUC
rnacentral:rRNA from 1 species